rnacentral:rRNA from 1 species
GACGAACCGUGCGAACGUUAUUCGGAAUCACUGGGCUUAAAGCGCGUGUAGGCGGAUGGGAACGUCGGUAGUUGAAAGCCCCCGGCUCAACCGGGGAAGUGGUGCCGAAACGACCCGUCUGGAGGGACGUAGGGGGACCUGGAACUUCCGGUGGAGCAGUGAAAUGCGUUGAGAGUCGGAAGGCAACGCCCGUGGCGAAAGCGAGGUC